GAGGAGAGAGAGAAAGGACACCGCCAUGGCUGCAAACCCCUCGAUCCGGGUCGCCCCGCCAAGAUACGGGUCGGGUUUCUUCUCCCCCUUCUUCGCGAUAACAGCUCUGGAUUAAAAAAAAAACAGUAUCGUCACAGCCCAUCAGCAGAACCCAACGAAUUUUCUAGAGAGAGAAAGAAAGAAAGAGAGAGAGAGAGAGUAAGAGGAGAUGAUGGUGAUGAUGAUUGAUGAUCGAUGAGAAGCGUGUACGCAUAUACAUACAUACACACAAAGGGCUGUUUGUAGUUGUAGCAAAAUCGCAGUAGAAAAUCAUGGGCGAAAUGCGGAGAGGAGCAACCGCCCUUUAAGAAACGCCUCCGUCUCUCCGCCGCCUCAUUCCAGAGCGUUUUCAGAAUUUGGUAUUUUGCUU
rnacentral:lncRNA from 1 species